rnacentral:rRNA from 1 species
UACGGGGGGAGCAAGCGUUGUUCGGAAUUACUGGGCGUAAAGGGCUCGUAGGUGGCCAACUAAGUCAGACGUGAAAUCCCCAGGCUCAACUUGGGAACUGCGUCUGAUACUGGAUGGCUUGAAUUCGGGAGAGGGAUGCAGAAUUCCCGGUGUAGCGGUGAAAUGCGCAGAUAUCGGGAGGAACACCAGUAGCGAAGGCGGCUCGCUGGGCCGUUCCUGACGCUGAGACGCGAAAGCUAGGGGAGCGAACAGG